rnacentral:rRNA from 1 species
AGAGUUUGAUCAUGGCUCAGGACGAACGCUGGCGGCGUGCUUAACACAUGCAAGUCGAGCGGAAAGGCCCCUUCGGGGGUACUCGAGCGGCGAACGGGUGAGUAACACGUGAGCAACCUGCCCCUGACUCUGGGAUAAGCCUGGGAAACCGGGUCUAAUACCGGAUACGACCAUUGCGGGCAUCCGUUGGUGGUGGAAAGUUUUUUCGGUCGGGGAUGGGCUCGCGGCCUAUCAGCUUGUUGGUGGGGUGACGGCCUACCAAGGCGACGACGGGUAACCGGCCUGAGAGGGCGACCGGUCACACUGGGACUGAGACACGGCCCAGACUCCUACGGGAGGCAGCAGUGGGGAAUAUUGCGCAAUGGGCGGAAGCCUGACGCAGCGACGCCGCGUGGGGGAUGACGGCCUUCGGGUUGUAAACCUCUUUCAGCGGGGACGAAGCCCUUUGGGGUGACGGUACCUGCAGAAGAAGCGCCGGCUAACUACGUGCCAGCAGCCGCGGUAAUACGUAGAGCGCGAGCGUUGUCCGGAAUUAUUGGGCGUAAAGAGCUCGUAGGCGGUUUGUCGCGUCGGAUGUGAAAGCCCAUGGCUUAACUGUGGGUCUGCAUUCGAUACGGGCAGACUAGAGGUAGGUAGGGGAGCAUGGAAUUCCCGGUGUAGCGGUGAAAUGCGCAGAUAUCGGGAGGAACACCGGUGGCGAAGGCGGUGCUCUG